rnacentral:misc_RNA from 1 species
UUUCCGUAGGUGAACCUGCGGAGGGAUCAUUAUUGUGUUACAAAGCUGCGAAGCCAGUCGCUGACCCGCCUAGAUGGUCACUCCCGCGUGCGCUCACACCCCUCCCUCGGACCCCUAUGUGCACCACCGCGUCGGUACCCCUUUGGCAUGUUCGGUGGGGGGCUUGCGUUUUCACACAAACUUUGUAUGAAGUGUUGAAUGUAUUUUUUGUUUUUUCGAUCACGCAAUCAAUACAACUUUCAACAACGGAUCUCUUGGCUCAAGUACAGUUGAAGACCC